GGGGUUGUGGCUCAGCGGUAGAGUACUUGUCUAGCAUGUAUGCGCCUUGGGUUUGAUCCUCAGCACCACA
rnacentral:tRNA from 1 species